rnacentral:lncRNA from 1 species
AUGUGUUGCAACUACUACGGCAACUCCUGUGGCUAUGGCUCCAGCUAUGGCUGUGGCUAUGGCUCUGGUUAUGGCUGUGGCUAUGGCUCCAGCUAUGGCUGUGGCUAUGGCUCUGGUUAUGGCUGUGGCUACGGCUCCAGCUAUGGCUGUGGCUAUGGAACUGGCUACAGCUGUGGCUAUGGCUCUGGCUCUGGCUGUGGCUAUGGAACUGGCUACGGCUGUGGUUAUGGAACUGGCUAUGGCUGUGGAUGUGGCUCUGGCUCUGGCUACUGUGGCUACCGGCCAUUUUGCUUUAGAAGAUGCUAUUCUUCCUGCUAA